rfam:Oryza meridionalis cultivar OR44 (W2112) chromosome 7, whole genome shotgun sequence.
UUUAAGUUAGCCAUGAGUUUCCAUACCUAACUUUGAUUGUCCAUCUUAUUUGAAAUUUUUUUAUAAUUAGUAUUUUUUGUUGUUAUGAGAUAAUAAAACAUAAACAAUACUUUACUUGUGACUUAUGUUUUUUUUAAAAAAAAUUUCAAAUAAGACGAACGACCAAAAUUGGACGCGGAAAAUCAUGGUUGCACUUGGA